GAUGAAGAACGUAGUGAAAUGCGAUAAGUAAUGUGAAUUGCAGAAUUCAGUGAAUCAUCGAAUCUUUGAACGCACAUUGCGCCCGCCAGUAUUCUGGCGGGCAUGCCUGUCCGAGCGUCAUUUCAACCCUCGAACCCCUCCGGGGGGUCGGCGUUGGGGAUCGGCCCCUCACCGGGCCGCCCCCGAAAUCCAGUGGCGGUCUCGCCGCAGCCUCUCCUGCGCAGUAGUUUGCACACUCGCACCGGGAGCGCGGCGCGGCCACAGCCGUAAAACACCCCAAACUCUGAAAUGUUGACCUCGGAUCAGGUAGGAAUACCCGCUGAACUUAAGCAUAUCAAUAAGCGGAGGA
rnacentral:misc_RNA from 1 species